rnacentral:rRNA from 1 species
UACGUAGGGUGCGAGCGUUGUCCGGAAUUAUUGGGCGUAAAGAGCUCGUAGGCGGUCUGUCGCGUCUGCUGUGAAAUCCCGAGGCUCAACCUCGGGCCUGCAGUGGGUACGGGCAGACUAGAGUGUGGUAGGGGAGACUGGAAUUCCUGGUGUAGCGGUGAAAUGCGCAGAUAUCAGGAGGAACACCGGUGGCGAAGGCGGGUCUCUGGGCCAUAACUGACGCUGAGGAGCGAAAGCGUGGGGAGCGAACAGG